rnacentral:lncRNA from 1 species
AAGAAGAAUGGCUAAAGUCCUAAUCAUACAAGAGAUGAAGGGAUAAGAAACAAGACCACAUAUGGAGUUCCUCUCUUGAGAUCAUAUUGAUGAUCCAAGUAGCUCCCAUCCUUUGGAAUAUGCAAGCUAAAAAAGUGUAAGCUCAAGCAAAAGAAUAUAAUCAAACAAGCUUCUUAGAAGAUCCCCAAUACCUCUUGUAUCUUUCACUUUGGAUGAACAUGG